AUACGUAGGAUACGAGCGUUAUCCGGAUUUAUUGGGUUUAAAGGGUACGUAGGUGGCUUAUUAAGUCAGUGGUGAAAAGUUGUGGCUCAACCGCAGUCUUGCCAUUGAAACUGAUGAGCUUGAGUGUAGAUGAGGUAGGCGGAAUUCGUAGUGUAGCGGUGAAAUGCAUAGAUAUUACGAGGAACACCAAUUGCGAAGGCAGCUUACAAAACUAUUACUGACACUGAGGUACGAAAGCGUGGGGAUCAAACAGGAUUAGAUACCCUGGUAGUCCACGCUGUAAACUAUGAUUACUCAGAGUAUACGAUAUAUUGUAUGCUCUCAAGCGAAAGCAUUAAGUAAUCCGCCUGGGGAGUACGUCGGCAACGAUGAAACUCAAAUGAAUUGACGGGG
rnacentral:rRNA from 1 species